AGCAGUAGCCGCGGUAAUACGUAGGUGGCAAGCAUUGUCCGGAAUUAUUGGGCGUAAAGCGCGCGCAGGCGGAUCAGUUAGUCUGUCUUAAAAGUGCGGGGCUCAACCCCGUGAGGGGAGAGAAACUACUCAUCUUGAGUGCAGGAGAGGAAAGCGGAAUUCCUAGUGUAGCGGUGAAAUGCGUAGAUAUUAGGAAGAACACCAGUGGCGAAGGCGGCUUUCUGGACUGUAACUGACGCUGAGGCUCGAAAGCCAGGGGAGCGAACGGGAUUAGAUACCCCCGUAGUCCCUGUCUCUUAUACA
rnacentral:rRNA from 1 species